rnacentral:rRNA from 1 species
AAGCGGUGGAGCAUGUGGUUNAAUUCGAAGCAACGCGAAGANCCUUACCAGGUCUUGACAUACCUCGUGCUAUUCCUAGAGAUAGGAAGUUCCUUCGGGACACGGGAUACAGGUGGUGCAUGGUUGUCGUCAGCUCGUGUCGUGAGAUGUUGGGUUAAGUCCCGCAACGAGCGCAACCCUUAUUGUUAGUUGCCAUCAUUAAGUUGGGCACUCUAGCGAGACUGCCGGUAAUAAACCGGAGGAAGGUGGGGAUGACGUCAAAUCAUCAUGCCCCUUAUGACCUGGGCUACACACGUGCUACAAUGGUUGGUACAACGAGUCGCAAGACAGUGAUGUCAAGCUAAUCUCUUAAAGCCAAUCUCAGUUCGGAUUGUAGGCUGCAACUCGCCUACAUGAAGUCGGAAUCGCUAGUAAUCGCGGAUCAGCACGCCGCGGUGAAUACGUUCCCGGGCCUUGUACACACCGCCCGUCACACCACGAGAGUUUGUAAUACCCAAAGCCGGUGAGCUAACCUUUUAGGAGGCAGCCGUCUAAGGUAGGAUAGAUGAUUGGGGUGAAGUCGUAACAAGGUAGCCGUAUCGGAAGGUGCGGCUGGAUCACCUCCUU